rfam:Triticum aestivum genome assembly, contig: Triticum_aestivum_CS42_TGACv1_scaffold_146150_2BS
GCUCAGUUGGUAAAGCACAAGUCUCUUAACCUUGUGGACGUGGAUUCAAGUCCCAU